rnacentral:rRNA from 1 species
UACGAAGGGGGCUAGCGUUGCUCGGAAUCACUGGGCGUAAAGCGCACGUAGGCGGAUUGCUAAGUCAGGGGUGAAAUCCUGGAGCUCAACUCCAGAACUGCCUUUGAUACUGGCGAUCUCGAGUCCGGGAGAGGUGAGUGGAACUGCGAGUGUAGAGGUGAAAUUCGUAGAUAUUCGGAAGAACACCAGUGGCGAAGGCGGCUCACUGGCCCGGUACUGACGCUGAGGCACGAAGGCCAGGGGAGCAAACGGG